GGAUUAGGCAUGCAAGUCGAACGAGAAAGGCUUCUUCGGAAGCCGAGUAAAGUGGCGGACGGGUGAGUAAUGCAUAGAUAACUUGCCCUUGAGAUGGGGAUAACGCCUCGAAAGGGGUGCUAAUACCCAAUGCCGUCGCGGAUCGAUGGGUCCGCGAUGAAAGGAGGCCUCUGACUCAAGCUUCCGCUCAAGGAGAGGUCUAUGUCCUAUUAGCUAGUUGGUGAGGUAACGGCUCACCAAGGCUGCGAUGGGUAGCCGACCUGAGAGGGUGACCGGCCACACUGGGACUGAGACACUGCCCAGACUCCUACGGGAGGCUGCAGUCGAGAAUCUUCCGCAAUGCGCGCAAGCGUGACGGAGCGACGCCGCGUGGGCGAUGAAGGCCUUCGGGUUGUAAAGCCCUGUUAGCUACUAUGAAACGCAGGUGGUGAACAGCUAUCCUGCUUGACGUAAGUAGCAGAGGAAGCACCGGCUAACUACGUGCCAGCAGCCGCGGUAAUACGUAGGGUGCAAACGUUGUUCGGAAUCACUGGGCAUAAAGAGCGCGUAGGCGGUUCGAUAAGUCAGGUGUGAAAUCCCCCGGCUCAACCGAGGGACUGCACCUGAUACUGUCGGGCUAGAGUGCAGGAGGGGAGAGCGGAAUUCCUGGUGGAGCGGUGAAAUGCGUAGAUAUCAGGAGGAACGCCGGUGGCGAAAGCGGCUCUCUGGUCUGUUACUGACGCUGAGGCGCGAAAGCUAGGGGAGCAAACGGGAUUAGAUACCCCGGUAGUCCUAGCCCUAAACGAUGGGCACUAAGUAGAGGGGUUUU
rnacentral:rRNA from 1 species